UCUCUGUGGAGAUUCUUUCUCUUGAACUUUUUCCUGCAAGCCUAGGAUGCUGAGGCUUAGCACAUGGAAGCAUGUCCUACAGUACAAAAGGCAACUAGGAGUGGGGGAUAAUCAAGGAAAGAACUGCCUGGGAUGUCAGGGCUGGCCACUGGUGGGGAAAAAAAUGAAUCAGAUGAGAACUGAGUGAAGUAUAAGAAACCAAGCACAGGGGGAGGACAACUGAAGACAUAACCAGGGAUCAGUCUCAUCCCCCAACCGUAUCUCCAAAGGAAGUAGACUUUCAGUAUGCACGCUCCUCCUAAAAAAGCUGAAAAAGCUCAUCACCCAACCUGUGAACUGCACGAGCAGCAUGUUGUAGUAAACAUGAUGAAGCUACUGUGCACGUAAUGCUAGCUGUCACCACCUCUUGUCAUUCUGUAUGGGGGUUGUAUUUGGGCACACAUUUCUACCUGCAGCUGAGGAUAUUGCGUGCGGUUUCAGUGCAUCAUCUAUUGGGAACAUUUGGGAAGAGUGGAGUUUGCAGUUCCCAAAACAGUCUUGAAAGCAGUUAAAAAUAACUGUGAAUAUGUCACAUAAAAGCACUCUGAAGAGUCUGAUAUUUUUAUGAACCUCAAUGCAUGUUAUAUACUAAAAAUAAACUUGAGAGAAAUGACAGCACAAAGUUAAGGGAAUAUAGAUAGCCCAUGCAAACAUGUACUCUCAAAAUGAAGUUAUCUUUAGAGUUGUUGUAAGUAAUGUUAAUUAGUUAGAUAAUCCAUUAGGUCCAAACACUGUGGAAAAACACUUGGAAAACUAUUGGUUUAGGAUUGAGGAUAAGAGAUACAUAGGAGACCCUUCCCCUUCCUUUUCUCCUUCAACUCUUUAUGUAGAAAUAAAGGCAUUCCAGAAAAAGUGAAGUUUAACUUUUCAAAACUAUGCUGAGAUGUUAUAAGUGUGAUAUAAGAAAGAGUCAUGUAUAAAAGAGUAAUAUAAGAACAACAAAUAAUUCAAGUAAUUUUAUAUGCCACUUCUCAUUUUCUUCCGUGAAAGCUUAAUUAAAUUAGCACAUACUUGUUUCUUAU